UACAGAGGGUGCAAGCGUUGCUCGGAAUUAUUGGGCGUAAAGCGCGUGUAGGCGGUUUCCUAAGUCUGGUGUGAAAUCCCGGGGCUUAACCCCGGAACUGCAUUGGAUACUGGGAAGCUAGAGGACGAGAGAGGAUGGUGGAAUUCCUGGUGUAGGGGUGAAAUCCGUAGAUAUCAGGAGGAACAUCGGUGGCGAAGGCGGCCAUCUGGCUCGUACCUGACGCUGAGACGCGAAAGCGUGGGUAGCAAACAGG
rnacentral:rRNA from 1 species